GUGACUCUCCCCCCCAAACUCGCCGGGGCCGCUGCUCCCUCCGCCCCAACCCCGCCCGGCAACCCGCCUCCCGGCUCCCUCCGGGGGUUCACCCCGGCACUGAAGGGGAGACCUGGGGUGCCGCCUGGGCACCCCCACAGGAGACCCCGGCCCCCGGCGGCGGAGAAAAUGGAGCCGGAGAGAGAGAGAGAGAGAGAGAGGAGGCCCAAGCGGGGAUAACGAGACAGUUGGCAGGAAGGCGAAGAUACUUUGGAGAGUCGCACGGCCUUGUCAGGCCGCGAUCGCAGCAGGACUGGCUCUGCCCAGAGCCACACUGUGGUUUUGCUUGUGAGGGCAAAGGCCCUAGUUCUACGCUUCUGCCAGAUGACAUGCCAGGAGGGAGGCUUUGGAGAGUCGGAGAAAAAUGGACACCCAGAGAAUCCAGAGAGCUGUAGGAAUGCGCAGAGGGCAUUUUGGAAACUUUUGGAGGAGGGAGUUUCAUGAGGACAUAGAGUUGAAUGGGUCUCAUUGAACAGAACAUAUAGCCAAAGAUGGCCUAGAAUUCCUGAUUCUCUGCUCCCAUCUCCUGAGGGAUUACGGGUCAGCACCGCCAUGCCUUGUGGUGCUGGACGUUGAAUCUGAGGCUUUAUGGGCGCUAGGCAUGCCCUCUACCAACUGCACUAUAUCCCCAGCCUCCAGGGUCUCCUGUGCCUCAGGCCAGCCUCAAAACUCACUGUAUAGCUGCCUGUGGCCUCCCUCGGCUGCCUGAUCCAUUUGCCUUGACUUGGAUUGCAGUCAUGUGAUCACACACCUGGCUAGUUCUGUGUCAGGAAGGGUCCACACAAAGCUGCCCAACAGAUACUUACUUAACGAGAGACGAAGCAGCCCUGGUUUGAAGUUGAAUAAAAAUUUCUUGAGUGAAGAGGGGUCACAGGUGGAUUGAAAGUUUAAGGCCCGACUGACCUAUCGGACCCUGGGCACUCUCUCUGUCGCUCAGCCGUGGUCAACAGGAAGUGCGCUCACCCUGCAUCGGAUUGAAAGCUACCUGACAACCAACUGUCAGUCUUGCAUCUGUGCCUGCUGUUGUGACAUUUACUAAAUUAAUUAAAGUUAUUUAUUCAUUUA